AUCACGGGCCGCCUGGCUGCAGGGGGCGGGCCCAUGGCGGAGGCGUUAGCCGCCUCGCGGCGGAGCGGGCGGUGUGGCGGGAGCAGGCGGCGGCUUGUUGCUCCGCCCGCGGUCCCGCCGCUGUUCUCGCUGGGUGGUGACUGCCCUGAGCUGUGAGCGACCAGUGGCGAGGAAAAUUCUGUCCAAGUCGGAGACUUGAAGAGCCCUCACCUGUGAGGGCCAUACCUGCCUUUGGGAAGCUGCAUUACCCGAGGCGGAUUUUGGACUCAGGGAUUUCUGUUUGGGUUUCACCACAUCCUCUGGGAGUCCCCUCCGUGUCGCCCUCACGGUUUCCCAGAACACCCUUCUGGACUCGCCUCCUGGGACCGGGGGUGCCCGGCGCCCCUUCAAUCUCGGACCCGCGCCCACGUGAUCAAGACUGGAGGAAAGUCCUGGACAUUUACGUCGCUGAAGGCAAUCGCAGACUUUGUUUUUUGAAAAAACGAGUGAAACAAACUUUUGCCAGUCAGAUUAGUAUUGCUGUCCCGUUCGUGGAAACUGCAAGCUGUGAUUCGUUGUUAGGGUGCAAUGAAUUUCCAAAAUUGAUUCCUAGGUGAGCAAGUGGAAGACGUGAUCAUAUGAAUAGCAAUCCAGUUGAAUUUAUCUAAGACAAUUCACAGGAGGAUCUGAAAGCGUUUCUUAAAUCAGGAAGCAGCAGCUCUGGGUGGAGGGCAGAGCCCGCCUGAUAGGUUUGAUUGCUUCCUCUUUAGCAAUUCUUAUCGUUCAAAAAAUAGUCGCUUUGAAAGAGGAAAUGUUUCUUCAUCACCCAGGACCAGCUCUCUGCAUAAGAUUGUUUCGAGGAAUCACUGAUGAUAAAGCACCUGCAGAAAAGAAAAAUAAGUAAAUAAAAGGGGCAGCAAUUAUUCGUGAACUAUAACCAAAAAUGCAUAUUUGUGAG
rnacentral:lncRNA from 1 species